AAAACUGGUACGGACAAGGGGAAUCCGACUGUGUAAUUAAAACAAAGCAUUGUGAUGGCCCCUAUGGAGGUUGACACAAUGUGAUUUAUGCCCAGUGCUCUGCAUGUCAAAGUGAAGAAAUUCAACCAAGCGCGGAUAAACGACAUGAGUAAUUAUGACUCUCUUAAGGUAUCAACAUGCCUCAUAAUUUAAUUAGUGUCGUGAAUGAAUGGAUUAAUGAUAUUCCCACUAUCUCUAGCUACUAUCUAGAGAAACCACAGUCAAGGGAACGGGCUUGGAAAAAUUAGUGGGGAAAGAAGACCAUGUUGAGAUUAACUCUAGUCUGACUUUGUGAAAUGACUAUAUAAUAAGUGGGAGUCAUUUGCAGGGCAAGUGAAAUACAACUACUUUUAAUGCUAUUUUACUUAUUCCGUAGGGAAGAGAUGGGGCAUUGCACAUAUGUUAAAAGAUAACGGACAUUUCCUCAAAGUGUUGUCAUUGAUGUCAAUAGUCGAGAGCUCAUUAUUCACACACUUGAUGGAAAUGAGUUUAGGAAACCAAAGAGGAUCAUUGCUUUUAAGGACGAACAAAGUUCCUACAAUCCCUAUGCUUUUAGCCAACAUCCGCCUAU
rfam:Picea glauca, whole genome shotgun sequence.